rnacentral:rRNA from 1 species
GACGAACGCUGGCGGCGUGCCUAAUACAUGCAAGUUGAGCGCUGAAGGUUGGUACUUGUACCGACUGGAUGAGCAGCGAACGGGUGAGUAACGCGUGUGGAAUCUGCCUUUGAGCGGGGGACAACAUUUGGAAACGAAUGCUAAUACCGCAUAAAAACUUUAAACACAAGUUUUAAGUUUGAAAGAUGCAAUUGCAUCACUCAAAGAUGAUCCCGCGUUGUAUUAGCUAGUUGGUGAGGUAAAGGCUCACCAAGGCGAUGAUACAUAGCCGACCUGAGAGGGUGAUCAGCCACACUGGGACUGAGACACGGCCCAAACGCCUACAGGAGGGAGCAGUAGGGAAUCGUCGGGCAUGGACGAAAGUCUGUGCGAGCAGCGCCGCGGGAGUAAAGAGGGUUUUCGGAUCGUAAAACUCUGUUGGUAGGGAAGAACGUUGGUGAGAGUGGAAAGAACAUCAAGUGACGGUAACUACCCAGAAAGGGACGGCUAACUACGUG